CCUANGGGAGGCUGCAGUGGGGAAUCUUGGACAAUGGGCGCAAGCCUGAUCCAGCCAUGCCGCGUGAGUGAUGAAGGCCCUAGGGUUGUAAAACUCUUUCGCCGAGGACGAUAAUGACGGUACUCGGAGAAGAAGCUCCGGCUAACUUCGUGCCAGCAGCCGCGGUAAUACGAAGGGGGCUAGCGUUGUUCGGAUUUACUGGGCGUAAAGCGCGUGUAGGCGGACUUGUAAGUUGGGGGUGAAAUCCCGAGGCUCAACCUCGGAACUGCCUCCAAAACUACAAAUCUGGACCCAAGUAGAGGCAAGUGGAAUUGCGAGUGUAGAGGUGAAAUUCGUAGAUAUUCGCAGGAACACCAGUGGCGAAGGCGACUUGCUGGACUUGUGGUGACGCUGAGACGCGAAAGCGUGGGGAGCAAACAGGAUUAGAUACCCGANUANUC
rnacentral:rRNA from 1 species